rnacentral:rRNA from 1 species
UAAUUAAGUUAAGAAGAGGGACGAAUGGCAAGCUAGGGUGCACUAAUAAGACGGAAGGCCCGAAAAUACGAGGGAGAAAUUUUGAACUCGAAUAUCUUCGCGGAAACGCAGAGGGAAAAACUGGAAACUGAAACAUCUAAGUACCAGGGCUAAUUGGCACAAAGAAAUCAAACGAGCUUCCGUAAGUAGCGGCGAGCGAAAGCGGAAAAGUCCUCUAUGAGUUAGUAGUGGAAGAUAGGUGUCUACACAUCUAAGACUAAAUGUUAGUGCACACCGAAAGAGGAAGUACUGUGAAGGAAAGCUGAAAGAGACUUGAAAAGAUCUUAAAAUAAGUCCCCUUAAGCAGACAUAUUAUGUCGUACCUUUUGUAUAAUGGGUUCGCAAGGAAAAAUUUAGCAAACUUAAGUCCAGAGACGAAGGUGUAGUGAAAUCAAGAGGAUAAGCCCUCUUUAAGUUAAAUUACCCGAAACCAAGUGACCUAGCCUUGGGCAGUUUAAAGGAACGAACCGUUGAUUGUAGCAAAAAUCUCGGAUGACCUGUGGCUAGGGGUGAAAGACUAAUCAAACUUGGAGAUAGCUGGUUUUCUGCGAAAACUAUUGAAGUAGUGUGUCCAAAAACUUAAUUUUACAUGAUAAAGUUCAAUUGCUCGGAGAGGGAUUAACUCUGAAUGUAAAAAAUUUAAGAUGGACAGACAGACAAUGGGCGAUAAGGCCAAUUGUCAAAAGGGGAAAGCCCUAAUCAGAAGUUAAAGCCACAAAUCAAAGCCUUUAUCAAGUGUUAAAGGGAUGUGGAAUUUAGACAAUGAGGAAGUAGGCUUGGAGCCAGCCAUCUUUGAAAGAUGACGUAAAAGUUCACUCAAGAAAUUCUUGAAGUGAUAAUGCGAACAUGAGUUAAAAAAUCGUUGGAUCACUCCCCCAAGGCUUCAAUUACAAAUUGGGCUAUACAGCCCCUAAGAUAGCAACCCUUUGGUUGCGUCAACGGGUCUUAUAAAAAACGCACGAAGUGCCAGGAAAGAUUUAUAAAGUUUUUACUGUACUAGUCUAACGCAAGUGGGGUGAAGUGAGGAGAGAACUUCUCUUAAGGAACUCGGCAAAAUCUGGGCCUCGACUGUUUACCUAAAAACAUAGCUCUCUGCCAAAGCUAAACGCUGAAGUAUGGAGGGUGARGCCUGCCCRAUGGUUGUAUCUGAAAAGAGUUGRCUAARGUCARCUUCAUAAGGGCAAUUGAAUGGCCGCGGUAACACUGACCGUGAUAAUGUAGCGUAAUCAAUAGCCAAUUAAUUGUUGGCCGGUAUGAAUGGCAUCACGAAGGCCCCACUGUCUUAAGAGAACUCUCCAUGAAAUUGAAUUCGUAGUGAAGAUGCUACGUCCAUAUUGUAAGACGAAAAGACCCCAUUGAGCUUUACUAAAAACUUGUAUGGCUCGAAAUAACUUAAAUAAAAAGUUUAGAUAAUGUGGGACCCGUUUUUGGUUAAUGAAACACCACUCUUUUAUUUUAAGAGAGCUAACCUUGUUGGGAUAAUGCAAGUUGGAUAGUUUGGUUGGGGCGACCGCCUUUUAAAAGGUAACGAAGGUGAGCUUAAGGUCUAUAAUUAAUAGCCGAUGGCUUGACUGCAAGGGGGACAUCCCGAGCAGACACUGGUAAUUACCCAGUGGGCUAUAAUGACCCGUCAUCUUAGAGUGGAAUAGUUGACGAUCAACGAAUAAAAGCUACCAUGGGGGAUAACAGCGUUAUAUCGUUAGAGAGUUUAUAUCGACGACGAUGUUUGCGACCUCGAUGUUGAAUUGCGGCACCCUGGGGUGCAGCCGACCCCCAAGGGUUGGUCUGUUCGUCCAUUAAAGCCGUACAUGAUUUGAGUUAAAAACGUGGCAACACAGUUUGGUUUCUAUCUACAAUAUGAAGAAACAUCGAUAUAAUUAUCUUCUAGUACGAAAGGACCGAAGAAUUAACGAUUCUCUUAUUUUUACAAGUUACGAUCGAUUAAAUAACCUUCUAAUCGGAGGUUUCACAAUUAAUCACUGAUUGCCUCUUAAGUGUGAAAAUUAUAUCGAAUUGUUUGAUAUGAAGUAAAACUAUAAUUAUGC